rnacentral:tRNA from 1 species
UCCAUGGUGGUCCAGUGCCUAGGACUCUGCGCUCCCAAUGCAGGGGACCUGGAUUCAAUCCCUGGUUGGGGAA